UACGUAGGUGGCGAGCGUUAUCCGGAUUUAUUGGGCUUAAAGGGUGCGUAGGUGGCUUGUUAAGUCAGGGGUGAAAGACGGUAGCUUAACUAUCGCAGUGCCCUUGAUACUGAUGAGCUUGAAUGAACUAGAGGUAGGCGGAAUGUGACAAGUAGCGGUGAAAUGCAUAGAUAUGUCACAGAACACCAAUUGCGAAGGCAGCUUACUAUGGUUUGAUUGACACUGAGGCACGAAAGCGUGGGGAUCAAACAGG
rnacentral:rRNA from 1 species